UACAGGGGGGGCAAGCGUUGUUCGGAAUUACUGGGCGUAAGGGGCUCGUAGGCGGCCAACUAAGUCACACGUGAAAUCCCCAGGCUUAACCUGGGAACUGCGUGUGAUACUGGAUGGCUUGAAUUCGGGAGAGGGAUGCAGAAUUCCAGGUGUAGCGGUGAAAUGCGUAGAUAUCUGGAGGAAUACCGGUGGCGAAGGCGGCAUCCUGGACCGACAUUGACGCUGAGGAGCGAAAGCCAGGGGAGCGAACGGG
rnacentral:rRNA from 1 species